rnacentral:rRNA from 1 species
GGGGAAUUUUCCGCAAUGGGCGAAAGCCUGACGGAGCAAUACCGCGUGAGGGAGGAAUGCCUUUGGGUUGUAAACCUCUUUUCUCAGGGAAGAAGAUCUGACGGUACCUGAGGAAUAAGUAUCGGCUAACUCCGUGCCAGCAGCCGCGGUAAUACGGAGGAUGCAAGCGUUAUCCGGAAUCAUUGGGCGUAAAGCGUCCGCAGGUGGUUUCCAAAGUCUGCUGUUAAAGACUGGAGCUCAACUCNGGAACGGCGGUGGAAACUUGGAAACUAGAGUUCGGUAGGGGUAGCAGGAAUUCCCAGUGUAGCGGUGAAAUGCGUAGAUAUUGGGAAGAACAUCGGUGGCGAAGGCGUGCUACUGGACCGUAACUGACACUCAGGGACGAAAGCUAGGGGAGCGAAAGGGAUUAGAUACCCCUGUAGUCCUAGCUGUAAACGAUGGAAACUAGGUGUGGCUUG